ensembl:lncRNA
AUGGGCUCGGUUUUAAAUCACGUUGAAAACAUGCCUCUACUAAUUUCGUCCUGUCCCCAUCUUGUUGCCGUCUUUGGUGGGGUUUCAGUUCCCUGUUUGGUGGACACUGGUUCAAUGGUGUCCACUAUUACAGAGAGCUGUUUCCGUAGAGAUAUUGCACCAGGAGAGCAAGAAGCGCUUAAGAUGUGUCAUUGGUUGCAGCUGCGUGCAGCAAAUGGGCUUGAGAUUCCAUAUAUUGGUUAUGUAGAGUUAGACAUUGAGCUGUGUGGGUGCUUGGUGCCUAAGUGUGGGGUUCUGGUGGUCAGAGAUCCUCCUGGUGGCAUGGGUGACAAAGUUCCCGGUGUAUUGGGGAUGAAUGUCUUGCGCCGAUGUUACCAGGAGCUCUUUGGUCAACAUGGCCCUGCAUUGUUUAGUGUGCCUUUUGUUAAACAGGCCCCGAGCAUUAUGGUUCAUGCACUUCAGUAUUGCUGUCACGUUAAUACUGAACCUGUAGAGGGUCGUGCUGGUAGGGUCCGAGUUCGUGGCCACCGGGCUUGCUGUAUACCCGGUGGCACAGUGAAAUUUGUCGCUGCUACAUGCUCUGAGCACUAUUCUGAUUCUCCUGUGCUCUUUGAGCCACUCGAGCAGGGGUUACCUGCGGGAUUAUUGGCGUCUCCUGCGUUAAUUCAAGUAAUCCGGGGUACUGCAUAUGUGCCCAUUGUGAACGUUGGGAUUUCUGAUGUCAUGCUUUAUCCCCGUAGCCCUUUAGGAACGUUGGAUCAGGUGCUUGUGGUCAGCUUGCCCCCAGAUGUGGCAGAGAUUCGAUCUGUUGCCGCCACUGUCCAGACUCCGGGUCCCCAGGUGGUUCUCACUAUGGAGGAACAGAUUAAUGUUCUAGAAUUGCCAGGAUUAUCGGAGAAGGAGGUAAGUCAAGUGAGGGCGUUGCUUCAUAGAUACCAGUCGGUAUUCUCAGCCCAUGAGGGGGAUUUGGGAUGCACUGGUUUGUUGGCUCAUGAUAUUCCCCUCGUGGACGAUGUUCCAGUUCGGCAGCGUUAUCGCCGAAUUCCGCCCUCUGAGUAUGAGGUGGUUUUGCAUCGUCUGGAGGUUGAAGGGUUAAAGGCUAGGUUAGGGAAGUGUUCCUUUUUCCAGAAGGAGGUGAAAUAUCUGGGACAUGUCAUUUCGGCUGAAGGAGUGUCCACCGACCCCAGUAAAGUUGAGGCAGUGGCCCAGUGGCGAAGACCAGAGACAGUCAAGGACUUGCGUUCGUUCCUGGGUUUCGCGAGUUAUUAUCGCCGCUUUGUGGAGGGCUUUGCUCAAUUGGCUGCCCCUCUACAUCGGUUAGUGGCAGAAUUUGCAGGGUCUAAAUCCAGGAAGCAUACGGUCGAACGCUUUGGCAUGGCAUGGUCCGAGCAGUGCCAAGAAAGUUUUGAUGGUUUGAGAGGUAGGCUUACGACUUCUCCGGUCCUGGCCUAUGCUGAUUUCUCGCGACCUUUUGUUCUAGAAGUAGACGCCAGCCAUAGAGGACUGGGUGCGGUGCUCUCUCAGGAGCAGGGGGGGCAAGGUACGACCCAUCGCUUAUGCGAGUCGUAGUCUACGGCCCACUGAGCGCAACAUGUCAAAUUAUAGCUCCAUGAAGCUGGAGUUUGUUGCGCUCAAGUGGGCCAUGACAGAGAAAUUCAGGGAAUAUUUGUUGGGACAGAAAUGUGUAGUUUACACUGACAACAACCCCCUGAGUCACCUGAAUUCUGCAAAGCUUGGUGCUACAGAGCAGCGGUGGGCCGCACAGCUUGCCUCAUUUGACUUUGAGAUAAAGUAUAGGUCCGGCCGAAGUAAUCGUAAUGCUGAUGCUCUAUCGAGACAGGGUCCACCUGGCUGUCAUGGGUUGGAUCAUGCACUUCCUGGGACUAGUGUACCAGAGGAGAUGCUGUGUUCUGUGAGGCAGGGAGAAAUAGGUCCCCACGUUCUUCAGGCAGCGAUGUCCGCUCUACCGAGUUACUCUGCCAAGGAAAUUAGAGUCCAGCAGCAUGCUGACAGAGUCCUUGGUGAGGUAUUAGAGUUUUGGGAUUGUAAGAUCUUUCCUAAUGGGGAGGAGCGCCGAGGGCUCUCUAAGUCAGCACGGGUCUUACUCCGUCAGUGGAAUAGGUUGGUAGAUCGAGAAGGUGUAGUGUACCGCCGUGUUUUUCGUUCUGAUGGAGGAGAAGAAAUUCUUCAAAUUCUUCUCCCUUCUUCCCUGCGCAGUGAAGUGUUGACCCUGUUGCAUCAGGAGCAUGGACAUCAAGGGAUAGAGCGCACUCUCGAACUGGUGAGGCAGCGCUGCUAUUGGCCAAGUAUGGCAGCAGAAGUGGCCCAGUGGUGUCGAGAUUGUGAGCGGUGCCAGGUUGCUAAAGAUACACAACCAGCUGCUCGUAGUCAUAUGGGCCAUCUGUUGGCAUCUCGGCCCAAUGAGAUUCUAGCAAUUGAUUUCACUGUCUUGGAGGCAUCUCGGACAGGGAUAGAGAACGUUUUGGUGAUGACAGAUGUGUUUACGAAGUAUACAUUGGCUGUCCCAACUCGAGACCAGUGUGCUGAAACCGUUGCUAGGGUGUUAGUAGGGGAAUGGUUUUUAUAGGUUGGGAGUCCCUGGUCGAAUCCAUUCUGACCAGGGCCGUAACUUUGAGUCCAUCCUGGUUCAGCAGUUAUGUAGAUUGUACAACAUCAAGAAGUCGCGCACAACGCCUUACCAUCCGGCAGGUAAUGGCCAAUGCGAGCGAUUUAAUCGCACCUUGCAUAAUCUGUUGCGCACCCUUCCUCCCUCAAGGAAGAGGGAUUGGGCGUCUUGUCUCCCGCAAGUGGUCUAUUACUACAAUACCACCCCCCACCAAACCACCGGUGCGUCCCCAUAUUUUCUUAUGUUUGGGCAGGAGCCACGGCUUCCGGUGGAUUUCCUGCUUGGAGGGGUCCAGGAAGUCGUUCCUGGAGAUGUGCAUGAGUGGAUUGUAGAACAUCAAGCAAGGUUACAGGCUGCUUUUGAAGGGGCCAGUGCACGGUUAAAGCUUGCGGCAGAUUAUCGAAAGGUGAACCAUGACCAGCAUGUUCGGGAUGUCCCAUUGACGGUUGGUCAGAUGGUGUAUUUGAAGGAGUGUGGUAGACGAGGACGCCAUAAAAUCCAAGAUGUGUGGAGUCCUGUGGUCUAUUAUGUGGUGAAAGCACCAGAGGAUAACGGUGCCGUGUACUCUAUUGCAUCACGGGAAGAACCCGAUCGGGUUAAACAUGUCCAUCGUUCCCUGUUGAAAGGACGGAGUCAGGUAGUAACUCAAGAGUCGAGUCCUAGUGAGGUGUCUUCAACCCUGUUAGAGACGGUGUAUGAGGAGGUAGACGAGGUGGAUUGCUGGCAUGUGGUACCAAGGGAGCAUCAAGAAGCAGGUGUGCCAGCCUUAGAAGGUAAUGCGUUGGUUGAGUCAUCCACUACUGAUACAAUGCCAUUAGUGGCCCCAAGCGAGCCUGAUCCUGAUCCGGUAGAAGUGGGGGGUGGUAGUUUGGUUUCCAUCUUGCCAGGGGUCAUACACCCCCCUGAGCCAGAUAAUGGUCAGGUGAGGCCAAGACGAACAACUGCAGGACAGCACUCUAAUCCUCAUCACCUUCCUAGGGCAUUAGGAGGUUCUGGGUCUGCUAUUCGAUCAGCAGCCAUUUCUAGUUCAGUUUCCGUCUUUAGACCCUGGAGUUGAGUCCAACGUCGGGGCGACGUUGCAAAAGGUUGGGUUAGAUUGUGGCAUAAUGAGCUGAAAGCCCACACGCAGUUUACGUGACGUCAUUAAUUUGCGCUGGCAUAUAGGCUCCUUGCGCGUCUUUUGUGAACGCUCGCCUGUUUGCUUUAUGCUGCACGCUGCUGUGACCAUUCUCAGCGUGUUCUCUGUGAAACCUCACCUGUUUGCUGCGCGCUGCUCUGACCAUUUCGGACGGACAACAAUUUCCCAUUUGCGUUUCGUUACAAUUGGCUUCAUUCGGAUGACUGUUGUGCGGGCAUCUGUGGACUUCAGGUACGGGUAUGACUGGUUUUAAUUUAUUGUUGUCUUAUUAAAGUGUAGCGACUGGUUAGGUGGCAACUUUCCUGCAUUUGUUUUGAUUAGUUCGUGAUUUGGUGGGAGAAUGACGACUGUAUCAAACUAUUGAGGGAAUAUCCUUUUGGGUGCCUGGCCUCGCAGCUACGGAGAACUACAGUUCGUGCAGUGUCACCGCUGUUUUGUUUAUAGACAAUCUGAUACUGCUGUAAUACAAUGUGUUGAUACAUACUGCUGUACAUCUUUGCCUACACACACUUUCUAAGUGCAUAUUUUUGCCCAUAUAAUAAGAUCUCGAAUUAUAUUUCUUUAUUGAAACCUCAAGCAACUUGUGGUUUUUCUUUCUUUGGGGUUUUUCUUUAUUUUUGUGUAAUUUUUUUCAUGUCUAAAUUGUCACUUUUGGUAUAAUAUCUGUGAAUUUAUUUAUUUCAUAUAUUGUUUAUUCAUUUGAAGUGUUGAUUUAUGUAUACAACGUAAUAACUGUUGAUUUUUAAGUUUAUUUUUCAAGAUUUGUUUAAUGGCUUUUUUUGGAUUGAAUUGGGCCCAUUAAGGUUGAACGUCAAGACCUUUAGGUGGAUGAGUAUUUGUCAUCCACCUGUUAGCUUGUAUAACCUUUUUCUUUUUGUAUUAAUCUCUUUCUUUUCUGUGUGUGUGUGUGGUGUGGAGUGUGUGUUUGUUUUUUUUUAGGAGCUGCGGCCUUUUUGGCUUAGGAAAUUGAUCGUUUCCCUCCUAUCUUUGGUGGUGGUGUCUACAACGUGUGCUGUGACCGAUUAUUUCACUGGGGCUCUUUGUGCUGUGAGAGUGAGUGUGCUGUGUGAGGGGAACGUACACAUCUCUCGUGAGGCCGCAGCUUCCUUUUUGUGAACAUUGCGUUUGUGGUUUGUCAUUUGUCUGUGCAUGGUUUUUAUUAUAAAUUAUAAUAAACUUUUGGUAAUUUUGUAUAAAUACCUGUGUCUCCAUGUUGUUCUGUCUUUAGUGGGGAACCUGUGUGCGGGUAUAUUAUUCCCUGGGUGAAAUUCCCAGGGUGGCGUAGUCUAAACUAAAUUCUAUAACAUCUAUUGUGCCCUUUGUCCCUGUGGUUGCCACAUUUGCAUAUUCUUUUUCUUUGUGAAAUACAAAAUGUUAGGCAGAUUUUAGGAUAUAAGCCAAGAUACUCUUUUCCAUACAAUUAAAGUGAGUGGGGAUGUAUCCUACCUGCUCCAAAUGGGACCACACAAAAAAAAAAAACACCAUAAAUGUAGUUUAUGAAGCCUGUGCGCUAUAAGUCUUCUGAAGCCAUUCGAUACUUUUGUGUGAGAAACAGACCAAAAUGUAAUUAAUUAAUCACUGACAAUCUUGAGAGUUCUUAAAUCUAAUUUGUAUUCAAUUAAAUAAUAAUAAUAAUAAUAAUAAUAAUAAUAAAAUAGCACUUUUACAUAUUUUAGAGAACAAAUGCUACUGAUUCAAAUACCACAUGAAAAAUCACCACCUGGCAAGUAUGAAAAACACAAUAAGAUCUAAAGCUACAGCAGUGGGGAACGCUUUUAGGGAAAAACGACUUUGGUCAUUGACAAUUUUAGUCCAUUCCUCACACAAGUUCAUGUGUUUAUUGAAUUAAAUCUGUUUUACAUUAAGC